rnacentral:rRNA from 1 species
CCUACGGGGGGCUGCAGUGGGGAAUAUUGGACAAUGGGCGAAAGCCUGAUCCAGCCAUGCCGCGUGUGUGAUGAAGGCCUUCGGGUUGUAAAGCACUUUCAGUGGGGAAGAAAGCCUUGGGGCUAAUACCCUCGAGGAAGGACAUCACCCACAGAAGAAGCACCGGCUAACUCCGUGCCAGCAGCCGCGGUAAUACGGAGGGUGCGAGCGUUAAUCGGAAUUACUGGGCGUAAAGCGCGCGUAGGCGGUCUGAUAAGCCGGUUGUGAAAGCCCCGGGCUCAACCUGGGAACGGCAUCCGGAACUGUCAGGCUAGAGUGCAGGAGAGGAAGGUAGAAUUCCCGGUGUAGCGGUGAAAUGCGUAGAGAUCGGGAGGAAUACCAGUGGCGAAGGCGGCCUUCUGGACUGACACUGACGCUGAGGUGCGAAAGCGUGGGUAGCAAACAGGAUUAGAUACCCCAGUAGUC